rnacentral:rRNA from 1 species
CCUGGUUGAUCCUGCCAGUAGUCAUAUGCUUGUUUCAAGGACUAAGCCAUGCAAGUCUCAGAAUAAAUGGAUCACAGUGAGUCUGCAGACAGCUCAUUAAAUCAGCUACAAUCUACGCCGAGAAACUGCCUUUGGGCAGACUAUUGGAUAACUUUGGUAACCCCAAAGCUAAUACAUGUCAGCAAAACCCGCACAGAUUCCACCUCGGGGCUUCGGUUCUGGGGCUGUGUUGGAUGCAAUUGACCGAAAUAAAAACCAACGCUAGCAAUAGCAGCGGUGAUUGGAUGAUUCAGGUCAAUCGAGUAGUAGCGCAUACUUCGGUGGCGCUUGUCCGCAUGAGAAUCUGCCCUAUCAGCUUUUGACGGUAGGGUCGUGGCCUACCGUGGCUGUAACGGGUAACGGGGAAUUAGGGUUCGAUUCCGGAGAGGGAGCCUGAGAAACGGCUACCACAACUAAGGUUGGCAGCAGGCGCGCAAAUUGCCCAAUAGCAACACAUCGCUGAGGCAGCGAAGAGAAAUAGCAACUUCAUGCGGCCCUGCCGUGUGAAGAUUGCCAUGGACGAUAUCUAAACCUGUCGAUGAGUAUCAAUUGGUGGACAAGUCUGGUGCCAGCACCCGCGGUAAUUCCAGCACCAAUAGCGUAUAUUAAUGCUGCUGCUGUUAAAAAGCUCGUAGUUGGAUCAAGAGUCGGACAGUGCAAGGUGGCCCUGUUUGCCCGUUAUGGUUCCGACCAUGGCGGCGGCAGCGGAUCAACCCCUUGCGCCAAACUGUCCGCUCUAACAGGCCGAAACGGUUCCCUGUGAGUAGGUCCUUCACGGGAUCGAAAGCGCCUACGCAUCAACCAUAUGCAUACGGGACGUCGGCCAAUGUUACUGUGAACAAACCAGCGUGUCCAAAGCAGGCUUUCGCCUGAAUGUUCGAGCAUGGAAUAACAAGGGAUCGAUUCUCUCGGUUCUUUUUGUUGGUUUUUAACCCGAGAAGGAGUAAUGCAGGCCACGGUGUCUGAGGUGGGUUUCCCUAGGCUUCGGUUUAGGCCCCAUCUAGGCCGUGUCCUUACGGGAUCAAUAGGGACUGACGGGGUCGUACGUACUUCCGCGUCAGAGGUGAAAUUCUUAGAUCGCGGGAAGACGAACUUCUGCGAAAGCAUUCGACAAGAAUGUCUUCAUUAAUCAAGAACGAGAGUGUGGGGAUCGAAGAUGAUCAGAUACCGUCGUAGUCCACUACUGUAAACAAUGCCGUCUCAGGAUUGAGAAGUGAACCUAAUGACUUUCACAGCACUAACCCCUGAAACGAGAAAUCAAAGAUUAUGGGUUCAGGGGGGAGUACAUUCGCAAGGCUGGAACUUAAAGGAAAUGACGGAAUGACACCACAAGGCGUGGAGUAUGCGGCUUAAUUUGACUCAACACGGGGAAUUUUACUAGGUCAGGACAAUGUAAGGAUUGACAGAUUGAGAGCUCUUUCUCGAUCCAUUGUGUGGUGGUGCAUGGCCGCUCCUGGUUGGUGGAGUGAUUUGUCUGGUUGAUUCCGUUAACGAACGAGAUCUCGACCCUUAAAUAGGUGCUCGUGUCGAUUGUAGUCUCAUCCACGCUCGCUUGCGAGAUCGUGGUGGGAC